rnacentral:rRNA from 1 species
AUGGCGACCGGCGCACGGGUGAGUAACACGUAUCCAACCUGCCGAUAACUCGGGGAUAGCCUUUCGAAAGAGAGAUUAAUACCCGAUGGUAUAAUCAGACCGCAUGGUUUGAUUAUUAAAGAAUUUCGGUUAUCGAUGGGGAUGCGUUCCAUUAGGCAGUUGGUGAGGUAACGGCUCACCAAACCUUCGAUGGAUAGGGGUUCUGAGAGGAAGGUCCCCCACAUUGGAACUGAGACACGGUCCAA